AGGCAGGUUCCCCAUCCUGGAAACAGAAGAAUUUACAAUCCGACCAUGGAGCCUCGUGAAGUCUCAAGCAGGCACCUUCUCCAAACUCUUCCUAGACAUUGAUGCCCUCGUGGGAGACAACAGCUCCGAGAGGCUGUGGACUUGAGUGGGCACAGACCUGUGUGUGCUACAAGGGCACCGCUACUCAGAAAAACCGCACAAACCCUUUCUUCUGCUCAUAGACCUCGGCGCCUCACCUGGUCAUGCGUUCUUUGGAGUCUCCGUCACCACUUACUAUCCCCAAGGGGUUGGACACUCAGCCUCCAUGUCCUGCCCCACCUGCUGUAGACGAACUGUGGCAUCAUCAUGACGGGAGCGAGCAUGCAGUUUCUGUGAGGAGAGAGAACACUGUGCAGUUGGCAUCAUCACCUUGGCA